rnacentral:rRNA from 1 species
GACGAACGCUAGCGGCGUGCCUAAUGUAUGCAAGUCGAGCGAGGCGUCGGACUUCGGUCCGGCGUCGAGCGGCGAACGGUUGAGUAACACGUAGGCAACCUGCCCCAGAGCCGGGGAUAGCCCGCCGAAAGGCGGCGUAAUACCGGAUGUGGCGGAGGGAGGCAUCUUCCUCUUGCUAAAGGAGCAAUUCACUCUGGGAGGGGCCUGCGGCCUAUCAGCUAGUUGGUGAGGAACGGCUCACCAAGGCGACGACGGGUAGCUGGUCUGAGAGGAUGGUCAGCCAGACAGGGACUGAGACACGGCCCUGACUCCUUUGGGGGGCAGCAAUGAGGGAUAUUGCACAAUGGGGGAAACCCUGAUGCAGCGACGCCGCGUGGGCGAUGAAGUCCUC